rnacentral:rRNA from 1 species
UACGGGGGGGGCAAGCGUUGUUCGGAAUUACUGGGCGUAAAGGGUUCGUAGGUGGCCAACUAAGUCAGACGUGAAAUCCCUCAGCUUAACUGGGGAACUGCGUCUGAUACUGGUUGGCUUGAGUGCAGGAGAGGAACGCGGAAUUCCAGGUGUAGCGGUGAAAUGCGUAGAGAUCUGGAGGAACACCGAUGGCGAAGGCAGCCCCCUGGGCUAACACUGACGCUCAUGCACGAAAGCGUGGGGAGCAAACAGG